UUACGAUCAUAUCAAGUUGAAACACCGGUUCUCGUGCGAUCACCGAAGUUAAGCAACAAUGAGCCUGGUCAGUAGCUAGAUGGGUGAACCCUUGUGAUUACUAAGUCCUGU